AUGAGGGAUGAAAGGAAACCUUCCUUAAUUUCGAACAAAUUAACUUGGCCGAGAUUCAUUAUCUAUAAAGGUAAUAAUGAUAAAAAAAAUUAUACAGCAACCUACCUAUUUACGUGUAAGAACGUAUAUUGAUUUUAUUUGACUGAGAUUCAAUCUCGAUCUCCUCUGCAAACCUUAUUCAAUCCUCUUCUCACCAUCCUUUCCUCCUCCGCCUCCAACAAGCCCUAAACUCACUGAUUAACUCUGUCUCCCUAAACUCGCUGAUUUUAUUUAUGUCUCCCUAAACUUGCUGUUUUUAUUUACACACUAUGGAAGCUCCAUAGAUCCCAUCAACAUCGGUUUCACAAUCAGCCAUCCUUACCACUCCUCCUAUCGGGCGUCCUCAACUUUGAUCGCCAUAGGUUUGGAGUCCAACAACCGGGUUUUAAUCGCCGAGUCCGGCGUCAUCCCGUCCCGAGGCUUUCUUCCUUCCCCUGGGCCGCAACCCCACCGGGACCUAUUUUCUGCUCCUAUUGGCGUGAAGCAACGCCAGUUGAUGAUGGUUGUAGACGAAGGGGAAAAGACAAGACGGAAAGGUGUUCGACAAAGUUUGAAGAGAUCUUUAAAGGGCCUGGAUUUGGUUGGGGAGGAGUAUCGGGUGAUUCGAACGGUGGCAAUCAAUGACGUAUUCUACGCAAAACAGAAGGUUUUAUUCCAUAUGAAUGCACUCUUUUUUUUGUUUGUUUAGCUGUUUGCUUCUCAAUGAUUUAUUUAUAAUUUAAUUGUUAUUCAACUGAUCUACAAACCAUUAUACCCGUGCAUGGUUAUAUUAAACUAAAACGGAAUAGCAACCCAAUUAUGUCUGUGCAUUUAAAUUUU